CCUACGGUGGGCAGCAGUGAGGAAUAUUGGUCAAUGGGCUUACGCCUGAACCAGCCAAGUCGCGUGAGGGAAGACUGCCCUAUGGGUUGUAAACCUCUUUUGUCAGGGAGCAAUUGGCGCUACGUGUAGCGGUAUCGAGAGUAACUGAAGAAAAAGCAUCGGCGAACUCCGUGCCAGCAGCCGCGGUAAUACGGGGGAUGCGAGCGUUAUCCGGAUUUAUUGGGUUUAAAGGGUGCGUAGGCGGAAUGCCAAGUACGCGGUAAAUUCGAGGGGCUCAACCCCGCGCCGCAGUUGAAACUGGCGUUCUUGAGUGGGCGAGAAGUAGGCGGAAUGCGUGGUGUAGCGGUGAAAUGCAUAGAUAUCACGCAGAACUCCGAUUGCGAAGGCAGCAUACCGGCGCCCAACUGACGCUGAAGCACGAAAGCGUGGGUAUCGAACAGGAUUAGAUACCCCGGUAGUC
rnacentral:rRNA from 1 species